rnacentral:rRNA from 1 species
GUGCCAGCAGCCGCGGUAAUACCGGCAGCUCAAGUGAUGUCCCAUAUUAUUGGGCCUAAAGCGUCCGUAGCUGGCCGACCAAGUCUCCCGGGAAAUCCACCCGCCCAACGGGUGGGCGUCCGGUAGAAACUGGCCGGCUUGGAACCGGAAGGCUCGAAGGGUACGUUCGGGGUAGGAGUGAAAUCCCGUAAUCCUGGACGGACCGCCGAUGGCGAAAGCACGUCGCGAGAACGGAUCCGACAGUGAGGGACGAAAGCCAGGGUCUCGAACCGGAUUAGAAACCCGUGUAGUCC